rnacentral:lncRNA from 1 species
CACAACAACCACCACACCCACAAAGUCCACAGCAACCAUAACUACAACCACCACACUGACAACAACCACCACGCCCACAAAGCCCACAACAACUACAACCACUACACUCACAACUACAACCACCACACCAACAACAACCACCACACCCACAAAGCCCACAACUACAACCACCACAAAGCCCACAACUACAACCACCACACCGACAACAACCACCACACCCACAAAUCCCACAACUACAACCACUACACCCGCAACUACAACCACCACACCCACAAAGCCCACAACUACAACCACCACACCGACAACAACCACCACACCCACAACAACCAUGACAACUACAACCACAACGACCACAACAACUACAACCACAAGGACCACGCCCACAACUACAAUAACCACAACAACCCCAACUACUACAACUACUAAACCUACCACAGUUACUAUAAUAACUGAUCCCCCAAACCUCAAGGAAGAGCAGCCAGUGUCUCUCACCUUCAAUCUCGUUAAAGAGUUCACAAGUGAGCUUCAGGACAGCAUGUCACCUGUCUACAUAAACCUGGUUUAUAUAGUCAUUAUACAGAUUAACAUCAUUUAUCAAGCCAGAUUUCCAUUAACCUACAAACGAUGCAUCAUCAACGGUUUUACGAAAGGAUCAGUUAUAGUAGAUUCAACACUCGUCUUCUCCAACGAAACACUCCCCACCGAUGUCGAGAUUGUAGAAACACUUUACGACGCCUGGCAGGGAAACCAGACUUCCUUGAUUCUUGUAAAUAACACCAUCCAUGUUUGUAAGUGCACAGUGUCAUUUUUGAGCCUGAUAUUCAAGAAAAUAAAAGAACAACAUCAAAUAAAUGUACAAUUAAUGUAUUAUUAUUAUUUUUCCCUUGCAGUGACUCCAACACCAACACCCGCAGCCACCCCGACCCCGUCUGCCUCCAGUACCUCUCCAGAGAUGCUGCUAUUUUCAGCAAUGGCUCUGCUAAUCACAACUGCUCUUUUAAUAUUACAUAACCUUUCAUUAGUAUAGCAUAUAAUAAUAUAGGACUUCUGGCCCCGUUCCACCAUUCCCAAACCUCUAAAAAAAAUCCAAAAGAAUCCAGGCAUUUAAAUGUAUUUAUGAAGCUUAGAAGCUAAUAUUAAAUUACAUUUACCUGAGUUUUGAAAUUUGUAAAUAAAAAUACAUACUUCAGAUUUUAAAAAUUCA